rnacentral:rRNA from 1 species
UGGGGAAUUUUGGACAAUGGGCGCAAGCCUGAUCCAGCCAUGCCGCGUGUCUGAAGAAGGCCUUCGGGUUGUAAAGGACUUUUGUCAGGGAAGAAAAGGCUGUUGCUAAUAUCAGCGGCUGAUGACGGUACCUGAAGAAUAAGCACCGGCUAACUACGUGCCAGCAGCCGCGGUAAUACGUAGGGUGCGAGCGUUAAUCGGAAUUACUGGGCGUAAAGCGAGCGCAGACGGUUACUUAAGCAGGAUGCGAAAUCCCCGGGCUCAACCUGGGAACUGCGUUCUGAACUGGGUGACUAGAGUGUGUCAGAGGGAGGUAGAAUUCCACGUGUAGCAGUGAAAUGCGUAGAGAUGUGGAGGAAUACCGAUGGCGAAGGCAGCCUCCUGGGAUAACACUGACGUUCAUGCUCGAAAGCGUGGGUAGCAAACAGGAUUAGAUACCCUGGUAGUCCACGCCCUAAACGAUGUCAAUUAGCUGUUGGGCAACUUGAUUGUUCAGUAGCGUAGCUAACGCGUGAAAUUGACCGCCUGGGGAGUACGGUCGCAAGAUUA